rnacentral:rRNA from 1 species
GACGAACGCUGGCGGCGUGCCUAAUACAUGCAAGUCGAACGCACAGUUUAUACCGUAGCUUGCUACACCAUAGACUGUGAGUUGCGAACGGGUGAGUAACGCGUAGGUAACCUGCCUGGUAGCGGGGGAUAACUAUUGGAAACGAUAGCUAAUACCGCAUAAUAUUAAUUAUUGCAUGAUAAUUAAUUGAAAGGUGCAAUUGCACCACUACCAGAUGGACCUGCGUUGUAUUAGCUAGUAGGUGAGGUAACGGCUCACCUAGGCGACGAUACAUAGCCGACCUGAGAGGGUGAUCGGCCACACUGGGACUGAGACACGGCCCAGACUCCUACGGGAGGCAGCAGUAGGGAAUCUUCGGCAAUGGACGAAAGUCUGACCGAGCAACGCCGCGGGAGUGAAGAAGGGUUUCGGAUCGUAAAGCUCUGUUGUAAGAGAAGAACGGGUGUGAGAGUGGAAAGUUCACACUGUGACGGUAUCUUACCAGAAAGGGACGGCUAACUACGUG